UACGGGGGGAGCAAGCGUUGUUCGGAUUUACUGGGCGUAAAGGGCGCGUAGGCGGCGGGGUAAGUCGGGUGUGAAAACCCGUGGCUCAACCAUGUGGUCUGCAGUCGAUACGGGCAGGCUAGAAUUCGGUAGGGGAGACUGGAAUUCCUGGUGUAGCGGUGAAAUGCGCAGAUAUCAGGAGGAACACCGGUGGCGAAGGCGGGUCUCUGGGCCGAUAUUGACGCUGAGGAGCGAAAGCGUGGGGAGCGAACAGG
rnacentral:rRNA from 1 species